CCCCUAAGCUCCGCCCACUCCCCGCCCCUGAGGUCCAUCUGGGGCCUCGCCCGGCGAUCUGGGACUGGGGAGGACCCUGCUGACUUCCAGGCAGGUGGAAACUGGAUUGAUAGAAAUCCAGCGCGGGGAGGCUGUGCUGAGAGGAGGGACGCCCCUGCCCUGCGCCUCCCGCUCCCCAUCUCUGGCUGGUAUCCCGGUUACAGAAUGAGGGUCCGUGGUGCAACAGAAAGAAUGAGCCACUGAUACACUCAUCAGCUUGCUCGGAUCUCCCGGGGAGUUACGCUGGAAAAAGAAUGCCUGUGUUUCGAAGUUCCUUCUUAGGACGAAACCAGCUGAAGCUGGCGAAAUCCAAGAUGGCGCCUCUGAAGAGCCUCUGGCUUUAUCAUCAUCCUGUUCUCAUGCUAAACAACAUGUCGCCAUGACAACGACUGGAAGAGACCAAGAAGGGACAGAAAAAAAGGGGUUUCUUGAUUCCGGGAAAAAUCUCCGUUCUUUCCCAAGGAAAGCACGAAUAUUCCCCCCCGUGCUCUUAAUGCCCAGCCCCUUCAUUAAAGACACCCUACCUCUGAAACUUCCCAGCUCUCACAAGCUAAGUUGAUUUCAGAUCUUCCAAUUCCAUAGCCAUUGAAUACAGCCUGCACUGCUUGACACACUCCCUUUCGGUUUCGUGCAUUGGCCUCACCACGCAACAGGAAACAACCCUUUUUGGGAUAACCGGGACUCCCGGUAACAUUUCCAUAUAUACAUAUCUUAAUGUAUGCAAGGGCGUCUGGGGGAGAAAGAAGCAGCACAUUUCAUUCUUUGCUUUCUAUAAUACUGGAUUGCUUGAGUUUGUGACACAUGUUAACAUUUGCAACAUUUUUAAACUAAAUUGUAUGUAUUAUAGAACAGUCCUCUGCGCUGAGCUUGGACUUAAAGUGGAAAGGCUUACAUUUGCAGAAUUAAAAAAAGCAUCGAAACA
rnacentral:lncRNA from 1 species